GGUUAAGUGACUAAGCGUACACGGUGGAUGCCUGGGCAGUCAGAGGCGAUGAAGGACGUACUAACUUGCGAUAAGCGCAGAUAAGGCAGUAAGAGCCGUUUGAGUCUGCGAUUUCCGAAUGGGGAAACCCAACUGCAUAAGCAGUUACUGUUAACUGAAUACAUAGGUUAACAGAGCAAACCGGGGGAACUGAAACAUCUAAGUACCCCGAGGAGAAGAAAUCAACCGAGAUUCCGGUAGUAGCGGCGAGCGAACCUGGAUUAGCCCUUAAGCACUCGGUGAAGUAGGUGAACAAGCUGGAAAGCUUGGCGAUACAGGGUGAUAGCCCCGUAACCGACGCUUCAUCGAGCGUGAAAUCGAGUAGGGCGGGACACGUGAUAUCCUGUCUGAAUAUGGGGGGACCAUCCUCCAAGGCUAAAUACUCCUGACUGACCGAUAGUGAACCAGUACCGUGAGGGAAAGGCGAAAAGAACCCCUGUGAGGGGAGUGAAAUAGAACCUGAAACCGUGUACGUACAAGCAGUAGGAGCACCUUCGUGGUGUGACUGCGUACCUUUUGUAUAAUGGGUCAGCGACUUAUAUUCAGUGGCAAGGUUAACCGUAUAGGGGAGCCGUAGCGAAAGCGAGUCUUAACUGGGCGCUCAGUCUCUGGAUAUAGACCCGAAACCGGGUGAUCUAGCCAUGGGCAGGUUGAAGGUUGAGUAACAUCAACUGGAGGACCGAACCGACUAAUGUUGAAAAAUUAGCGGAUGACUUGUGGCUAGGGGUGAAAGGCCAAUCAAACUCGGAGAUAGCUGGUUCUCCCCGAAAGCUAUUUAGGUAGCGCCUCGGACGAAUACUACUGGGGGUAGAGCACUGUUAAGGCUAGGGGGUCAUCCCGACUUACCAACCCUUUGCAAACUCCGAAUACCAGUAAGUACUAUCCGGGAGACACACGGCGGGUGCUAACGUCCGUCGUGGAGAGGGAAACAACCCAGACCGCCAGCUAAGGUCCCAAAGUAUUGCUAAGUGGGAAACGAUGUGGGAAGGCUCAGACAGCUAGGAUGUUGGCUUAGAAGCAGCCAUCAUUUAAAGAAAGCGUAAUAGCUCACUAGUCGAGUCGGCCUGCGCGGAAGAUGUAACGGGGCUAAGCAAUACACCGAAGCUGCGGCAAUGUCUUUUAGACAUUGGGUAGGGGAGCGUUCUGUAAGCCGUU
rnacentral:rRNA from 1 species